rnacentral:rRNA from 1 species
UGACUGAGUGGCGGACGGGUGAGUAACGCGUGGGUAACCUGCCUCAUACAGGGGGAUAACAGUUAGAAAUGACUGCUAAUACCGCAUAAGACCACAGUACCGCAUGGUACAGGGGUAAAAACUCCGGUGGUAUGAGACGGACCCGCGUCUGAUUAGGUAGUUGGUGGGGUAACGGCCUACCAAGCCGACGAUCAGUAGCCGACCUGAGAGGGUGACCGGCCACAUUGGGACUGAGACACGGCCCAA